UAGAUCUAGUCUAGAUUGACUAGAUAGAAAGAUAAUUAUUUCUGUGGCAUAGCUGUCCUUUAGCAUUUAGGAUCUAGAUCUAGAAGUCUAGAUCUACUCAAUUUUAAAUCUCUUCUAUUUCAAAUUGUUUGUAGAUCUAUAUCUACAAGAUUAGGCUUAGGUCUAAAAAUAUACUAAAGUUAAAGCUACACAAGUACUACACAUCAUUCCUAAACUUAAUGCCAUUAAUGGCUAAAAUUCACUGAGCAUUGUUGCACUUAAGACUUAAACGUUCAUCCAAAAAAAAGGGAAGAUCUGAUUUUUACCAGUAAUAAGACUACAGCAUACUAAAUGACACAAGAUGUUCUUUCUCUAUUACCUCUUACAUUUGACAUAAAAGUAGGAAAAGGUUUAACAGUCUAUGCCUACAUAGAUCUCCAGGACUAAAAGUACACAAAAUGGCAAUCAGUAUAUCACAAGUGUAAUAACACAUGCAUCUAAUCUGCUUCAGUGGCGAGAACUGGGUGAAUCCUCUCAAAUAUUAAUCAGGAACUAGGCAUACCUAAUGAGCGUCAAGCUGAUACAGUAGAUGUACAGAAGAGUUUAUACACAAGGAAGUGAAAAGUGAUGUAAAAGGCAACUAAUACUUCCAUCUACCAUAGUUAAACAAGAAUCUGCAAAUGGUGAUAAUUGCAAUAAUCUUGAUAUAUUAAUGUUUGGCUUUAUAAUUAUAUGCAAUUGUUUCAUAAAUAAAUUAUUUCUCAAAAUU